GAUCGAAGAACAUCAAAUUAGAAUGUGAUGCAAAACUUAGACUCCUAACAUUUGCAACACAAUCUAAUUUGGUGUUUCUUCGAUC